AGUAACUGUAACUGGAAUUGGGUUGAUUCAUUCAAAUUCACUUAUAAAGAUGCCUGAAUUACUCUGGCUUGUGUUCAGCCUAGCCACUUCAAUAUGUCUUGCAGCUGCACGUGGUGAAGUGUGCCACCAGUACUCGCA
rnacentral:ribozyme from 1 species